ensembl:snoRNA snoRNA:Psi28S-1837a snoRNA:Psi28S-1837a
CCUGCAAGAAACGGAUUGUCUGCCGCGAUUCUCCAGCGACUGAACAUCUCAACACUUGCAAAGAUCAGCUGUGGCAGCUGGUAAUUGCCCUGGCCUAUUAUUCAGGACUGGAGGCUUCUUGUCAGUUGUCCACAAGG